rnacentral:tRNA from 1 species
GGAGCAGUGUCCGAAUGGCAAGGGGUCCGGUUUGAACCCGGAUUAAGGCGGGCUAGUACCUCGCUGUGCAGGUUCAAAUCCUGUCUGCUCCU